GACGAACGCUGGCGGCGUGCUUAACACAUGCAAGUCGAACGGAAAGGCCCUGCUUUUGUGGGGUGCUCGAGUGGCGAACGGGUGAGUAACACGUGAGUAUCAUGCCCUUGACUUUGGGAUAACUUCAGGAAACUGGGGCUAAUACCGGAUAGGAGCUCUUGCUGCAUGGUGGGGGUUGGAAAGUUUCGGCGGUUGGGGAUGGACUCGCGCGGUAUCAGCUUGUUGGUGGGGUAGCGGCUUACUAAGGCUUUGACGGGUAGCCGGCCUGAGAGGGUGAUCGGCGGCAUGGGAGGUGAGACACCGUCCAGGGUCCUACGGGAGGCAGCAGCAGGUAAGGGGGCGCAAUGGGGGAAAGUCUGACGGAGCGGCGGCGCGCGAGUGAUGAAGGUCCUCGGAGCGUAAAACCCUCUUAUUGGUGAAGAACCAAUUUGUAAGUAACUAUGCCGGUCUUGACGGUAAGUGAUAAGAAAGCCCCGGCUAACUACGUG
rnacentral:rRNA from 1 species